UUACAGAUGCAGAGAAUAAGGUGGAGUGUGAUGGAGCGGUUCAUUUCCAAGUGCUGGGGACCUGCAGAACAGUAAAACCUGCUGUGAGGAAUAAAGAAGCUCGUGACAACUCAACCCUUCCCAGGGAUGUUUGUGUUCAUCUAGGGACCAGAGUUUUAAUUUUGGAAUCUGAAGAGGAGAGUCCUUUCCAGGAUAAAACUGUCCUGACAUCUGUAUUCUUUCAUCGGAAUCAUAGGGUCACUUCUGCCUGCACCUGGGAGGGAUAAUUGAUCAGAGUAGAGAGCAGAUCAUAAGGUGUGGGUUGAUAACAGGUCUUUGAAUCAAAGAAUCUCAGAGUUGGAAGGGAGCUUAAAAUUCUGGCACAAUCCCUCAUUGUACAGAUGGAAAAAGUGAGGAUCAAGUAGGAGAAGGGACAGUAGCUAGAUGGUAAAUGAGGCUUUCCCUAACUCUUCAUGGAAUACAGAGAAUGAGGAGGGCAUGCAACUCUUCCACAAGCUCUUUUCCAUCAGCAUCAAGUCCUCUUCCUGAUUCCCCGCCUCACUCCCUGUGUUCCAAAUGGACAGGUAGUUAUCAAACUUUAAUAUGAAUAGCAAUUGUUAGGUGACACUGCAUGUAGAAAACUGCAACUCUAUUACUCUCCUGGAGUUAUACAGGACUGGAACCCAGGGAUCUGCAUUUGAUGAUGAUUCUGAGAACCACACAUUUUCUGAGAACUACACGUUUGGGGAACAUGAGCUGGGCCAUGGGAGUGGUCCGGGUCGAGAAGAAGGAUGGACAUAAUGACCCCCAAGAGGUUCUGCCAGCCUGAGCCAUCAGUGAUUCAAGUUUGGAGUUAGAGUAGGGGUGGGGAGUGACCUUUGUUUCUCACCGCCAGGGGUUGUUCAUUGGAAAGAAAGAAUGUUAUGGGAUGAUGACCUUGAGGAACCUGUCCUGGAUGCCUGAUGCCAGCCCUAAUGAUCUCACUGCCCCCAAGAGGAGAAGAAUGCAAGACCGCAUCAACCCUGAUCCUUACCUUCAGCCCCAUUUUCCAUCCUAAAACUAUAAGACCUCUCCCAACUUCCCAGGAAGGGAGGUACAGUCUUGAAAGCAUUAACUUGCUGUGGUCCUCCUUUUGCCUGACAAAGUAAUAAAGCUACUCCUUUCUA